rnacentral:tRNA from 1 species
CAAGAAAUAGUUUAUUUAAAAUUCCGGUUUUGGGACCCGGGGAUAGGGGAAAGUUCUUUUUUUUUUGA